ACGAACGCUGGCGGCACGCCUAACACAUGCAAGUCGAACGCUUUUGUGUCCAGCAAUGGGCAUGAGGGAGUGGCGGACGGGUGAGUAACGCGUGGGAACCUGCCUCAUGGUGCGGAACAACUCCGGGAAACCGGGGCUAAUGCCGCAUGUUCCGUGGUAACACGGCAAAGAUUUAUCGCCAUGAGAGGGGCCCGCGUCGGAUUAGGUAGUUGGUGGGGUAACGGCCUACCAAGCCUGCGAUCCGUAGCUGGUCUGAGAGGAUGGCCAGCCACACUGGGACUGAGACACGGCCCAGACUCCUACGGGAGGCAGCAGUGGGGAAUCUUGGACAAUGGGGGCAACCCUGAUCCAGCGAUGCCGCGUGGGUGAUGAAGGCCUUCGGGUUGUAAAGCCCUUUCGCCGGGGACGAUAGUGACGGUACCCGGAGAAGAAGCCUCGGCUAACUCCGU
rnacentral:rRNA from 1 species